ensembl:lncRNA
CCUGCCCAUACGGAGCGUACCACCCACUGAAAGAGAAGAGCAAUACGCAAACACUUGCGCUGACAGCGUACACUGAAAACUGAGUACACCGCCAGGAAGGAAAGGUACGCAGGACUGUGAGCACACAGGGAGGCAGGCCAGCCUUGCCCUGGGUGUCAGGAGGAAGCUGCCAUUAAACAACUGGACAUUUUUAGCUCCAGCCUGGAGAACACGGUGCCUGACCAUUGGCAAUCCUUGGUUUAGAUUCUGAACAUUUGUUAGUCUCUAAAUACUUUCAUUUAAUACCAUGGAAACUUGUACUUGGAGAUUUAUGGCAUCUAAUUCUCAUACUUCAUCUUACAGAUGAAACAGAGGCCCAGUGGAGGCCCUGAAAGAGGAUGGUUCUGGCAUCCUUACAGCAAAGGGAUGGUAACCUGAUGGAUGAGUUAAAACAACACGCUUGGUGAAUGGUGAGAAGUAUGGGACAGCUUG